rnacentral:rRNA from 1 species
GUGGGGAAUAUUGCGCGAUGGGCGAAAGCCUGACGCAGCCACGCCGCGUGAGCGAUGAAGGCCUUCGGGUCGUAAAGCUCUGUGGGGAGAGAAGAAGAAAGUCUGUGAAGAGCAGGCCUUGACGGUAUCUCCUUAGCAAGCACCGGCUAACUCCGUGCCAGCAGCCGCGGUAAUACGGAGGGUGCGAACGUUGCUCGGAAUCAUUGGGCGUAAAGCCCACGUAGGCGGCGGCAUAAGCGGAAUGUGAAAGCCCAGGGCUCAACCCUGGAAGUGCAUCCCGAACUGUGUCGCUUGAAUCUCGGAGGGGGACAGAGAAUUCCCGGUGUAGAGGUGAAAUUCGUAGAUAUCGGGAGGAAUACCAGUGGCGAAGGCGCUGUCCUGGACGAAGAUUGACGCUGAGGUGCGAAAGCGUGGGGAGCAAAC